AGUAACACGUAAGCAACCUGCCUAUCAGAGGGGAACAACAGUUAGAAAUGACUGCUAAUACCGCAUAUGCCUUGAGUUAUGCAUGUAACAAAAGGGAAAGGAGCAAUCCGCUGAUAGAUGGGCUUGCGUCUGAUUAGAUAGUUGGUGGGGUAACGGCCUACCAAGUCGACGAUCAGUAGCCGGACUGAGAGGUUGAACGGCCACAUUGGGACUGAGAUACGGCCCAGACUCCUACGGAAGGCAGCAG
rnacentral:rRNA from 1 species